UUUCACACCAAACCCAAAACCCGGUUUUCGGCAAAAAGUUUUCGAAAACACGAAAAUCGUUCACACCGAACAUUUACACGUUUUCAUUUGACGUUUAAAUUUUAAAUGAAUUCUGAAAAAUUGAAAUUAUUUUUAAUAUAUAAAAAGAAAGAUGAACAAAAUAUGAAGAUUUGGACAAAGGUACGCACCAGCACUUUUUGGAAACAUGAAAUGUUAGAAAACGAUGAUGAGUAUUUCAAACAAUAUUUCAGAAUGAGCCGCAGAACUUUCAAUAUACUCUGCAAUGAACUAAAGGAUCUGGAAAUGCAAGAUUCAAACUUUAGGAAGUGUAUACCAUUACAAAAAAGAAUAGCCAUUGCAAUAUAUACACUGGGAUCAUCCGCUGAAUACAGGACAGUUUCAGCUAUCUUUGGGUACCACAGCUUCCGAGGAAGAAAAGAACUUCAACUACGCACUUUCGAAAUGUCGAAGAGUUGUUGAAAACUGUUUCGGACACCUUAAAUCAAGAUUUAGGACAAUCGGAAAGGGACUUGAUAAAAUCAACAUCCAAUGCUUGCAAAAUGCAAACAAUAAUUCGCAUAGAGAGCAACCGGAACAAUCAACACAGGUAGAUGAUGCAAGAAAUACACCUUCCAUUAUCCGAAAUGCCAUCAAAAUGCAAUUAGCCCGGAGCCUUGACGGAGUAGCCCGCGAUGAACUAGAUGCAGACUCGGCCGACGGAGUUUCUACAUUUUCUUCGUACUGGGAUGAGGUUGCCCCGCAGCUCAGACUCCUUUUCACCCCAGAGUUCGAGCAGGUACUCCUCAUCCUGGCUCCCCCACAGUUUCCUUUUUUUAUUUUUUUUUUCUUCCAUAUUCUGUAAAUAAAAAAACAAAAAGCAAUAAUUCUUAUUUUGUAAAGAUAAAUUGUAUAAAUAAUAUUACUUACCACGGCCAAAUUGUUUUGA